CAGACUGAAACAACUCUUGAAGCAGUGUCAGCCAAUGGAAUCAGCAGCCAGAAAGUAAGCAGACUCAUUGAAGGAUAGCCUGCUCCUGGAAAUUCACAGGAAGGACUUUCUCCUCCUUGAAGUAACCAAUCUCUUUGGUCCUAUGGACCCACCUACCCCCAAAUAAGAGAGGAACCCCAGCUUCAUUUUACUGAGCCAUGACCUCUGUGCCCAUUCUCGCACUUGUGAUGCUAUUCAUACCUAGAGCAACAGCACAGUCAGUGACUCAACCUGAAGACCAGGUCUCUGUCCCUGAAGGGUUCCCAGUGGAGUUGAAAUGCACUUAUUCCUCUUCUGGGGCUGCUUAUCUCUACUGGUAUGUCCAGUAUCCCAACCAAGAGCUUCAAGUCCUCCUGAGACAUACUUCACAGGAAAGCAACAAAGGCUUUCAGGCCAAUAAGGAUGAAACCUCCUACCAUAUGAGGAAGCUCCAUGUCCAAGAAGAAGAUGCAGCUGUGUACUUCUGUGUUCUGGGUGACACAGUGAGAGAGCUCACAAGUGGAGCUGAACACAAACCUCCUGAGACAGUCUUUGAAAUGUUCUUCAAAGGGACUUUUUUUCUUCCUUUUUCAGAGUCCUCUAGGUGA